rnacentral:rRNA from 1 species
GACGAACGCUGGCGGCGUGCUUAACACAUGCAAGUCGAACGGAAAGGCCUCUUUCGGGGGGUACUCGAGUGGCGAACGGGUGAGUAACACGUGAGUAACCUGCCCUUGACUUUGGGAUAACUUCAGGAAACUGGGGCUAAUACCGGAUAGGAGCUCCUGCUGCAUGGUGGGGGUUGGAAAGUUUCGGCGGUUGGGGAUGGACUCGCGGCUUAUCAGCUUGUUGGUGGGGUAGUGGCUUACCAAGGCUUUGACGGGUAGCCGGCCUGAGAGGGUGACCGGCCACAUUGGGACUGAGAUACGGCCCAGACUCCGACGGGAGGCAGCAGUGGGGAAUAUUGCACAAGGGGUGGAAGCCUGAUGCAGCAACGCCGGGGGCGGGAGGACGGCCUUCGGGUUGUAAACCGCUUUCGCUCAUGACGAAGCUUUGUGUGACGGUAGUGGGUAAAGAAGCACCGGCUAACUACGUG